CCCCCCACCACCACACACGCACACACUGGAAUCCUCCUAAAUCGCCAGUCUUCGCACCUGCCGGCGGAACCCUAGGUCCGGAGCUACUGCCAGAUCAGGACGGCUGAAUCGGCGGCUCCUUCCCUGGCGCCGCGCUUCGGAGGCUUGCGCCGCUCGGCGCGUCCCCCGCCAGCAUCUUUCCUCCGUCUACACCUUCAGGAUUUGCGCCGCGCCGGCCCGAGGGCUUUGGAGGCUUUGGAGGAUUUUGACCUUGGAGUCCGAUAUGCUUGGUCAAUUUUAGUGCAGCUGCCCCCUGUUAAUUCCAUUUUCAGGAGUCCGAUAUCCAGGCAUCGAGCACUCUAUGCAAGCAUUCAAUCUCGCCGCUCUACCAACUUCGCCUGAACACCGACUGCCAAUGCUCCAUAUACCGUCAUACAAUCUUGCCAUUCUACCUCCUUCGCCGGAACACCGACCGCCGCUCCAUCUGAGUUACAAAUUGAAUUCAACAUGCCAGUUGAGGAAGCUGCUGAGCUAGCAUGGCAGGCUAUUUUAUCAUGCAACAUUCCUUAACGGAGCUAGUGAUGGUUCGUGAGCUGACUCAGCAAUUUCCUGUGACUUUGCCCCUUGCCUUAGUUAUGAAGAAGUUUUUGGCAGAUCGUAGUUUGGACCACCCAUAUUCGGGUGGUCUAAGCUCUUACUGUUUGGUGUUGUUAACCACUCAUUUUCUUCAGCAUGAACAUCUUGGCCGGCCUAUUUACCAAAAUCUAGGGAGCCUUUUGAUGGAUUUCCUGUAAUUAUUUUGGGAAUGUAUUUGAUUCACGUCAUAAGCGUAUUUCCAUCCAAGGAAGAGGAAUUUGUUUGAACCGAGAAAGAGGGCACAGGUAAUAAAAGUCGAUGUCAGUAAUACAUUGUUUCUUUCUGUCACCUUCUGUCUAUGGUAUUUUUCCAUACUGUUGAUUUUGCAGCAUUGAUCCAAUUCACAUCGACGAUCCUCUUUGCCCUGCUAACAAUGUGGGACGGAAUUGUUUCCGGGUCCACCAGUGCAUCAGAGUUGGCUCAAAUUAUCUUUUCUGGACUGGUUGAAUCCUUCUGUUGUUGUCUAGAGCUUUUGGAGUUGUGGCAAUGCUGUGAUUAUGCUCUUUUAUAUGGCUUUCGCUGUUCUAGAGAACGAGCUACUGCAGUUCACUGCAGAAUAUAACAUGCCCGCAUCAUCAUUCAGCCUGCUGAAGAAAAUAAUUCCAAGCAUUGAUUCCAAUGAGUUGUACCAGUAAAAAGAACCUAUGAUUCCACGAGUUGCAGGAACUGUUGAGUUGGAAUGGCCUCCUCUGUGUUCUAGACACUGAGUUACUACUGCAGCUGGUGGAAAAGGAGGCUUGUUCUAAUGUAUGAUGCCAGCUGCCCUCCUCUCGCCUCUGGCUGCUGAGAACCCGAGACUGUUAAUUGAUGUUUUAGGCUUGAACUGGACGAUUCGAAAGCUAGAUGGGGGUGCACUCUGCACACAUAAGAUGUAUAAGGUCACGGAGGAGCAGUACAAGCAGGCCCACGCAGAACUCUUGACCCGGAGGAGCACACAGGAUCAAAGAAGUUAGGCAGUUCGUAUGUAGGAAUGUAAUAUGACCAAUGUAAUUUAUUUUGUAAUUGCAACAAAAAAUUGCUUGUAUGUUGAUAUUUACUUGUUUGAACUUUAAGUAUAGCAUUG